CGUGAGAUGUUGGGUUAAGUCCCGCAACGAGCGCAACCCUCGUUCUAUGUUGCCAGCACGUAAUGGUGGGAACUCAUGGGAUACUGCCGGGGUCAACUCGGAGGAAGGUGGGGAUGACGUCAAAUCAUCAUGCCCCUUAUGUCUUGGGCUUCACGCAUGCUACAAUGGCCGGUACAAAGGGCUGCAAUACCGCAAGGUGGAGCGAAUCCCAAAAAGCCGGUCCCAGUUCGGAUUGAGGUCUGCAACUCGACCUCAUGAAGUCGGAGUCGCUAGUAAUCGCAGAUCAGCAACGCUGCGG
rnacentral:rRNA from 1 species